GGGGAAUCUUGCACAAUGGGGGAAACCCUGAUGCAGCGACGCCGCGUGAGCGAUGAAGCCCUUCGGGGUGUAAAGCUCUUUCGACGGGAACGAUAAUGACGGUACCCGGAGAAGAAGCUGCGGCUAACUACGUGCCAGCAGCCGCGGUAAUACGUAGGCAGCGAGCGUUGUUCGGAGUUACUGGGCGUAAAGAGUAUGUAGGCGGUUGCGCAAGUUCGGUGUGAAAUCUCCCGGCUUAACUGGGAGGGUGCGCCGAAGACUGCGUGGCUAGAGUGCGGGAGAGGAGAGCGGAAUUCCUGGUGUAGCGGUGAAAUGCGUAGAUAUCAGGAGGAACACCGGUGGUGUAGACGGCUCUCUGGACCGCAACUGACGCUGAGAUACGAAAGCGUGGGGAGCAAAC
rnacentral:rRNA from 1 species